GAAUGAAUGGUGAAUGAAUGACAACGUCACACUCUUUCUCCUUCAGUUAAAUAGCCAUUUUGUCCUCCAUAAAGCAGCCCCCACCUGUGUAAUACUCCCAAAAAAGGUAUUCUAACUUGUUGCAAGAUGUAAUGUAUUGAAUAGCUAAGUUUGGGCUAUACCCUAGAUGGCUCUGCCUAUAGUUAGCUUCAAAAUUAAGUGAAGUGUUUUGUAUACAUUUG